GCCGGGUUGGCUGAGCGGUUUAGGCGGCCGCCUGCAGAGCGGCUACACGGGGGUUCGAAUCCCUCGCCCGGCUCCA
rnacentral:tRNA from 2 species